UGGGGAAUAUUGGACAAUGGGCGAAAGCCUGAUCCAGCCAUGCCGCGUGUGUGAAGAAGGUCUUCGGAUUGUAAAGCACUUUAAGUUGGGAGGAAGGGCAGUAAGUUAAUACCUUGCUGCUUUGACGUUACCGACAGAAUAAGCACCGGCUAACUCUGUGCCAGCAGCCGCGGUAAUACAGAGGGUGCAAGCGUUAAUCGGAAUUACUGGGCUUAAAGCGCGCGUAGGUGGUUUGUUAAGUUGGAUGUGAAAGCCCCGGGCUCAACCUGGGAACUGCAUCCAAAACUGGCAAGCUAGAGUACGGUAGAGGGUGGUGGAAUUUCCUGUGUAGCGGUGAAAUGCGUAGAUAUAGGAAGGAACACCAGUGGCGAAGGCGACCACCUGGACUGAUACUGACACUGAGGUGCGAAAGCGUGGGGAGCAAACA
rnacentral:rRNA from 1 species